rnacentral:rRNA from 1 species
AAAGACUUAGUCCUAACCUUACUGUUAACUCGUGCCAAAUAUAUACAUGCAAGUAUCUGCGUCCCAGUGUAAAUGCCCUUGAUUCCUUACUAAGAUGACAGGAGCAGGUAUCAGGUACACCCACUCAGCCGUAGCCCAAGACGCCUAGCUCAGCCACACCCCCACGGGUACUCAGCAGUAAUUAACAUUAAGCAAUAAGUGUAAACUUGACUUAGUUAUCGCACUCUUAGGGUUGGUAAAUCUUGUGCCAGCCACCGCGGUCAUACAAGAGACCCAAGUUAACAGUUAUCCGGCGUAAAGAGCGGGCACUUACUAUCUAAGCAACUGGGAUUAAACCACGGCUAAGCUGUCAUAAGCCCAAGGCGUGUUUAAAGCCAUCCCAAGACGAUCCCACAGCCCACGACCAACUAAACCCCGCGAAAGCCAGGGCAC